AAAUCCUCAUACUAUCAGUUUUAUUACCAACAAGUCUAGUCCUCUACAGCACAGUUUAACAGUGGAGUGCUACUCUACACAGGAGAUACUGUUUACAAGCUGAACAAAAUUAACUCCAGAGAGAUCCUAAACCUAAACGUUAAAUGUCAAAAGUGCAGAACUUCUGAAAGAUACUAAAGAGACCAAGGCUCUCCAAGUUUGGCAAGUCUGCCUUCCAUAGCUACAAUAUAAGCACUACAGGUGCCUCAGUUUCACAAGUGAGCUCAAGAACAAGGACUAUUUCUAAGCACAGUCCCUUCCCAAUGCUCUGCAUAGAUGCAAACCCAGGAAUGAAGUUAUUCAGAGGGUGCCAUCCUGGCCCAGGGAGUUGCAAGGAUGAUGCAGGGCAUGCAGAAUCACACAGGACUCUGCCUCUGGCUGCUGGCUCCCACCCAGCCCCAGGGAGGACCAACCAAACCAGCUCUAAUGGCUCAGCCGGCUGCUCCUCCCUGUCUGGAGAUAGUGGCCCCUUGCUCACCAGGGUAUCUGCUGAGCACCUGCACUCUCCCCACAAACAUUAUAAACAAAGUCCAUGGUGUCCAAAGAUUGCAAAUAGAUCCAUAUCUGUCACCAUGCAUAAAACUCAAGUCCAAGUGGAUCAAAGACUUCAACAUAAAUCCAGUUACACUGAACCUGAUAGAAAAGAAAUUAGGAAGUAGUCUUGAAUGCACUGGCACAGGAGACCACUUCCUAAAUAUAACACCAGUAGCACAGACACUGAGAAUAACAAUUAAUAAAUGGGACCUCUUGAAACAGAGAAGUUUUUGAAGGGCAAAGGACACUGUCAAUAAGACAAAACAACAGCCUACAGUAUGGGAAAAGAUCUUCACCAACCCCACAUCUGACAGAGGGCUGAUCUCCAUAAUAUAUAAAGAACUCAAGAAACCUGACAUCAGAAUACCUAACAAUCCAAUUAAAAAAUGGGCUACAGAGCUAAACAGAGAAUUCUCAACAGAUUAAUCUCAAAUGGCUGAAAGAUAUUUAAGGAAUUGCUCAACAUCCUUAGUUAUCAGGGAAAUGUAAAUCAAAAUGACUCUGAGAUACCAUCUUACACCUGUCAGAAUGGCUAAGAUCAAAAACACUGAAGACAGCUUAUGCUGGAAAGGAUGUGGAGCAAGGGGAACUCUCCUCCACUGUUGGUGGGAACGCAAAUUAUACAGCCACUUUGGAAGUCAGUAUGGCAGUUUCUCAGAAAACUGGGAAUUAAUCUUCCUCAAGACCCAGCUAUAACACUCUUGGGCAUAUACCCAAGGAAUGCUCAAGCAUACCACAAGGACACAUGCUCAACUAUGUUCAUAGCAGCAUUAUUCCUAAUAGCCAGAACCUGGAAACAAUCUAGAUGCCCCUCAAUUGAAGAAUGGAUAAAAAAAAUGUGGUGCAUUUACACAACUGAGUAUUACUCAGCAGAGAAAAACAAUGAUAUCAUGAAAUUUGCAGGCAAAUGGAUGGAACUAGAAAAAAUCAUCCUGAGUGAGGAGAAGACAGACACAUGGUGGAAGUGAAUUACAAAGUGAGGUGUAAUUUAGCAAAUGACUAAGUUUGAAAAAUGACUAACAAACUGCUUGCAAACAGAAGUAAUUAACAAGGAUACACAUGAAAAGGAAACAAAAGCCAACAAGUACUUAUGAGUUCACUUAAAAAGGAAAAUAAAAUUUUUUAAAAAUUACAAAAAUAUAAGCAGCUAAACCACCACUGGGCCCAAGCGUACAGCUCCUUUCUCAGGACAGGCAAACAUGUCCAAGAUCUCCAGCCUAACCCUCGAACAGAGACAUGUUUUUGACUCAGGUACCUUAUGUAAUAAUGAACCUGAAGAUGACUUGCUACAAAUGGCUAGGAAGCGAUUAAUGACAUUUCCACUGUUCUUUCUUUCAAAAUGCCACAACUACAAUCAAUGGAUUAUGAGAUUACUAGGGAUAUUGAGACCCUGGGAGGACAUAUAGAGAGAGUUCAACAUUUAUCAGUUGUACUCAAAGAAGAUACCAUUGCCUAUACCCAUAAAGUUAACAAGUUUAAAAAAUGCUCUUUAUUUGAUGCGACUGGUAGGAUAUUUAGAUUUGACUAUCCUUGCUUCCCACGUGGAACUUAUUCCACUAGAUAAAGGCAAGCACUUGGCACUUUGCAUACUUCGUGUUGGUUAUUUUAGCAUAUAAUUCCUUUUAGGAGGAAUAAGGAUAACAAGCGCCAGAGACUAUUAUCACACCAGAAGGAACAAACCAACUAUGCAGGAUUCCAGCAGACACAUCUGUGCAAACUGACUGAAGAAACUUCUUCAGGAAACGUUUCAUCUCCAUGAUGACACCUCAGGCCUGGAAUACUGUAUUCUAGAUUCUUGGUUCAUUCAGCCCCAUAAUGGCAUUGCCAUUUCUGCCAAAACACAGGGUCUAUAUACAUUGAUCAUACAUGAGGGAUGGAUGGCUUCAGAGAUUCAACAGACUUCCUGAUGCUUUAUACUUAUUAUUUGUUUUUUUCCAAAAUGUUAACAUACAGAAACCUAAGAAACAACGAUGGAAGCUAAUUAUGAAGAUUACUGGACUCUUAGUUGGUUUUUUCAUUAAUAAAAGAAGAAAUACCUCUCC